rnacentral:rRNA from 1 species
UACGUAGGGUGCAAGCGUUGUCCGGAAUUAUUGGGCGUAAAGAGCUCGUAGGUGGCUUGUCGCGUCGGGUGUGAAAGCUUGGGGCUUAACUCCAGGUCUGCAUUCGAUACGGGCUGGCUAGAGGUAGGUAGGGGAGAACGGAAUUCCUGGUGUAGCGGUGAAAUGCGCAGAUAUCAGGAGGAACACCGGUGGCGAAGGCGGUUCUCUGGGCCUUACCUGACGCUGAGGAGCGAAAGCGUGGGGAGCAAACGGG